AAAGUGUUUAGUGGCAUGGGGAUGGGGUCGCGUCCUAUCAGCUUGUAGGCGGGGUAAUGGCCCACCUAGGCUUCGACGGGGUAGCCGGCCUGAGAGGGCGGACGGCCACAUUGGGACUGAGAUACGGCCCAGACUCCUACGGGAGGCAGCAGUGGGGAAUAUUGCGCAAUGGGGAAAACCCUGACGCAGCGACGCCGCGUGCGGGAUGAAGGCCUUCGGGGUUGUAAACCGCUUUUGAUUGGGGAGCAAGCCUUUUGGGGUGAGUGUACCUUUCGAAUAAGCGCCGGGCUAACUACGUGCCAGCAGCCGCGGGUAAAUA
rnacentral:rRNA from 1 species